rnacentral:rRNA from 1 species
AGAGUUUGAUCCUGGCUCAGGAUGAACGCUGGCGGCGUGCCUAACACAUGCAAGUCGAGCGGGUAGGUUCUUUAAUGAACCUUUGGGGGAUUUAAAGGACCGAAAGCGGCGGACGGGUGAGUAACGCGUGAGGAACCUGCCCUGUGCAGGGGGAUAGCCUCGGGAAACUGGGAUUAAUACCCCAUAAAACUCUAACAUCGCAUGGUGUAUGAGUCAAAGCAAUAGCGGCACAGGAUGGCCUCGCGUCCCAUUAGCUAGUUGGUGAGGUAACGGCUCACCAAGGCGACGAUGGGUAGCCGGCCUGAGAGGGUGACCGGCCACACUGGGACUGAGACACGGCCCAGACUCCUACGGGAGGCAGCAGUGGGGAAUAUUGCACAAUGGGCGCAAGCCUGAUGCAGCGACGCCGCGUGAGCGAAGAAGGCCUUCGGGUCGUAAAGCUCUGUCCUAAGGGAAGAAUAAUGACGGUACCUUAGGAGGAAGCCCCGGCUAACUACGUGCCAGCAGCCGCGGUAAUACGUAGGGGGCGAGCGUUAUCCGGAAUCACUGGGCGUAAAGGGUGCGUAGGCGGCCCUGCAAGUCAGGAGUUAAAGCCCUCGGCUCAACCGAGGUAAGCUCUUGAAACUGUAGGGCUUGAGUGCAGGAGAGGAGAGCGGAAUUCCUAGUGUAGCGGUGAAAUGCGUAGAUAUUAGGAGGAACACCAGUGGCGAAGGCGGCUCUCUGGACUGUAACUGACGCUGAGGCACGAAAGCGUGGGGAGCAAACAGGAUUA